GAGAGAAGGGAAAGGUUGCAAAAAGGAAAGGAAGAGAGAAAGAAUAACAGAAGUGAAUUUGGUGAAACGGCAAAUCACGGGUUUUCAGCGCUGAGCAAAACAUCUGGUUAAUGGCGCGCCCCCGAAAGCCAGAAGCACGCUCACACACCCAGGAAUCGGACUUGCUUGUGUAUACUGAUAACUCAAUGUAAUAAAUAAAGACAGCAGUGC